rnacentral:rRNA from 1 species
AUUGCAGGACACAUUGAGCACUGAUUUUUCGAACGCACAUUGCGGCCUCGGGUCCUGCCCGGGGCCUCGCCUGUCUGAGGGUCGGAUAAGACUUGCAAAGGAAAAUACUUUUCCAAUUGGCCGCGUCGGAGUCCAAAAAUUUUGGGCUUCGUCGGCUCAAGUAUCAGAUAGGAUCCUCCCCGGUCGAGAGAGCACAAGCCCUAGAGCAUGCUCGUCGCUCGGAGAAGACGGACCACGUUUCUCCAAUAUGACGAGACGGUUUGUUGCCGAGGUGACCGAUAUNGNGAUGCGAGCCUACNCGAGAUGAGAAUUUCUCGAUUGAAAAAUUACUUUGACGACCUCAGAUCAGACGAGAUGACCCGCUGAAUUUAAGCAUAU